rnacentral:rRNA from 1 species
GACGAACGCUGGCGGCGUGCUUAACACAUGCAAGUCGAACGGAAAGGCCCUGCUUUUGUGGGGUGCUCGAGUGGCGAACGGGUGAGUAACACGUGAGUAACCUGCCCUUGACUUUGGGAUAACUUCAGCGAACUGGGGCUAAUACCGGAUAGGAGCUCCUGCUGCAUGGUGGGGGUUGGAAAGUUUCGGCGGUUGGAGAUGGACUCGCGGCUUAUCAGCUUGUUGGUGGGGUAGUGGCUUACCAAGGCUUUGACGGGUAGCCGGCCUGAGAGGGUGACCGGCCACAUUGGGACUGAGAUACGGCCCAGACUCCUACGGGAGGCAGCAGUGGGGAAUAUUGCACAAUGGGCGGAAGCCUGAUGCAGCAACGCCGCGUGCGGGAUGACGGCCUUCGGGUUGUAAACCGCUUUCGCCUGUGACGAAGCGUGAGUGACGGUAAUGGGUAAAGAAGCACCGGCUAACUACGUG